rnacentral:lncRNA from 1 species
CGCCGUCGCAUUAUCCGGUGAUUAUGUUUUCCUUACGGCGCCAGUAAUUUUUCUAUUUCCGGAAAUACCCUUCCUCUACUUAUUAAUUCCACUUUUCCGUUACACUUAAUUUUCUUUUAGAUUUUUUUUUCUUGGUUAUGCAUUUAUUGCCGUCUCUUCGACCUAUAUACUUGGAAAAGGUUGCUGCAGCAGAAAUUCAGAAUUUAUCUUUCUGAAAAUAUUUUAGAGGGUAUUACAAGAUUUUGUGGAGCUGUUUUGAUUUGUCGAUCUACAAGAGUUAAGAAUUCCGGCAGCCAUGUCGGGUCCGUUAGAUCGGUUUGCUAGGCCUUGUGAGUUUAUUUGAUUUUCUUUUAUUUUCCAUGCUUUAUUUUUAUUUUCGAAUUUUAAGUACAUUAUUGGUCAAUUUUAGUUUAUAGCUAUUUCUCUUGUUAACAAUUAGGGCUUUUGACCUUCUUUGAACUUUUUCAGUUUUUUGACUUUUGAUGACUGUAUUGGAAUGAGAUGGUUCAGAAUUGUGCUGAAUAGAUAUAGAGGAUUCAUAUAGUCGAGUCAACUAUUUUUGGAUUGAGGUUUUAGUGGUUGUUUUUAUUGUUUUAAUCAUAAGCACGGAAAAAAAAUACAAUUUCUGUUGGAGUGAAAUACGUCCCAAAAUACAGCAUAAUAAGAUCCAUAUUGCGGACUCCAACUAGUUUGGGAUUGAUACAGAGUUGUUUGUGUUGAUUCUCUUAUUCCUUGGAGGGAAAAAUAUAAUUUUUGGUGGAGUAGUGUGGAUUUUGACAAAAUCUACUUAGUGGCGUAGGUUAGGGUAAAUUUGUGAAUAUUUCUACGGCACAAUAGAGUGAGACUAGCCAGUUAGGAGUUAGACUAAGAAUGUCAUUGGUCGUCUAUUGAUGCAGGGCUUUACCUGCUAGUUUUAUUAUACCAGCCAUCUAUUUCGUAUUUCGUAUUCUGUAUUUCAUAUCUCUUAUAUUGCUGUUAUUUUAUUAUGCAUUUUUAUGGUACUAAUAUAUCGGCUCCUGUUGCUUUUUUUGAGCCGAGGGUCUCCUGGAAACAGCCUCUCUACCCUUCGGGGUANNNNNNNNNNNNNNNNNNNNNNNNNNNNNNNNNNNNNNNNNNNNNNNNNNNNACAUAUUACCCUCCCCAGACCCCACCUUGUGGGAUUAUACUGGGUCGUUGUUGUUGUUGUUGUUGUUGUUGUUGUUGCUACUUAGUGGCGUUCUUUGUUUCUCCUGGGUCCUGCCUGGUGGUUUGGGUUUAUCUGGGGAAAAGUAGGUCUCGACGACGACAUGGUCAUCUUCACUAUAAUUGUCAAGCACUCUGUUCGGGAUUAUCGACUGAUGCAAUACGACCCACAUUCUGGUUUUUGCAACUAUCACAAUGAGCAUAGAAGUGGGAAUUUUAGUAAAAAUGAGCAUAAGGGUGAUUCGGUUGAGGAGGAAGUAUUUUUUCAAUUUUAAGUCAAACAUCGUAUCUAUUUCACUCCCUUGCUUUCCAUCUUAGCCAAUUGACCAUUUAGGGCAUAAGGUACAAGUGCUUGAAAGUCUAAAUUACGAAAAUGUAUGGGAACUUCUUUAUGAAAAAAUCUACAGAAACAUAAAAGAUAAUUAUAGAAUCAUGUAGUAGAGAGGAACUGUUGUUAUUAUUUUCUGUUUAUUCGCACAUCGCGAUGGGCUUUUAGAGGAAAAAGAGUUUGUUCUGUACUUGCUGAAUUCUAGUUGACUUGUGCCUAGGACUUGUUGGUCUAGUUUGUUUUCUCAGUACACUUCUGCUUUACCCUUUUGGAUAUUUUGGAAUUGAUUUUCCCACUCCUAAUCUUUUCCACCACUUAACAGGCUUUGAGGGGUCAUCUGCACGUGAAGAGAGAAGGGAAAGAAAAUCUGAUUUUGAGAAUUCAGAGGAUGAGAGGAGGACGA